GAUGAACGCUGGCGGCGUGCCUAAUACAUGCAAGUCGAGCGAACAGACGAGGAGCUUGCUCCUCUGACGUUAGCGGCGGACGGGUGAGUAACACGUGUAUAACCUACCUAUAAGACUGGGAUAACUUCGGGAAACCGGAGCUAAUACCGGAUAAUAUAUUGAACCGCAUGGUUCAAUAGUGAAAGACGGUUUUGCUGUCACUUAUAGAUGGAUCCGCGCCUCAUUAGCUAGUUGGUAAGGUAACGGCUUACCAAGGCAACGAUGCGUAGCCGACCGGAGAGGGUGAUAGCCCACACUGGAACUGAGACACGGACCAGACUCCUACGAGAGGCAGCAGUAGGGAAUCUUCCGCAAUGGGCGAAAGCUUGACGGAGCAACGCCGCGUGAGUGAUGAAGGUCUUCGGAUCGUAAAACUCUGUUAUUAGGGAAGAACAAAUGUGUAAGUAACUAUGCACGUCUUGACGGUACCUAAUCAGAAAGCCACGGCUAACUACGUG
rnacentral:rRNA from 1 species